GUGGCAGUGGUUGGCACUCCUGUAAACCAAAUAAAAAUUAUAUUAGCAUUUAUUUAUUAGUAAUACUAGUCACACUAGUAAUACACCAAUAACAAUUUUUUUGGGAAUAAUUUACCUGAGAUGAUGCAGACUGAUGAUCAAACUCAUUUUUGGGUGCUGACAGAUCAUCACUAUCAUUCCCUGUUGAAAGCUCUUCUACAUGCUGCUCUUCUACAUGCUGCUCUUCUACAGGAGCACUGUUUCUUUUUGUGGACUUUCUCUGUUGAGAUUUUUUUUUUCCUCGACCUCGCCUUCCAUUAUCUAUAGCCUCUCAAUAUCUUGAUCCCCUGAAUAUAUAAUUACACAAUAAACGUUCACAUACCACCAAAGCUAGCAAACCCAUUCAAUGAAAUAUCUACAAAAUAAAUCAUUGAAUCUUAUAGUAUGACGAUCUGCCUAAUCUCAAGUCAUUCCUUCAAGUAUUACAUCUUCAAUCUUUUAAACAUUCAAUCUCGAAAAUAAUGACUCCAAAUCAUUGACAACAAAAAAAAUCAUUCAUUUAUUCUUCCAAUUUUAUGAGCUGUCUGAUCUCAAAACCCAUAACCAUUCAUUCAAUAAUAAAACUCCAAGCAAUCAAUUCGAUCACUACAUCACAAACAUUCACU
rnacentral:lncRNA from 1 species